UGGUCACAUAAUGUUUGUAUCACCCAUCUGAAGCAGAAAUGUGAUAUUCUGAUGGCUA
rnacentral:snoRNA from 1 species